GCGCGGGUAGCUCAGCGGUAGAGCGGCGGCCUCAUGAGCCGACGGUCGGAGGUUCGAAUCCUCCCCUUCGCACCA
rnacentral:tRNA from 1 species